GAUCGCCUAAUACCCAAGUCGCACUCUCACAGUUCGACAAGAUGCGCACGUUUUUGUAGGAAUAUUGUUUGUUUAAUGAAGUCAUAAUAUUUAUGCAGGACGCAGAAUGAGAGAAGUGCAACACAGCCGAGAAGUGCGCACUCAGACUUGGACUAGAACGAGCGACGAGCGUCUCCCAAUGGACUCUGAAUCUGAACCUGGCGCAGACUGGAGUGGGCAGACGUUGGCCGCAGGAAGGCAUGAAUUCUACUGCAAAAUGGGAGAUGUCUUAGCGGGAGACAGACCGCGGUCCCCCACCCACUCACCAGCCGUCGACAACCCCUGACCUCUUCAUGUGUUUAGAUCAGAUCGUGGAAGUGAGAAAUAGUGAUGAGUCACUCGGGCCCUGUGUUUACACUCCGGAGUCACGCAAGGAAGGAAAUCAGGCCCGGUCUGGUGGCGAGGUGCAGAGGUGAGGAGCAGAGCAGGAGCACGGCUUUAGAUUUAUGAUGUCAUAUCAACUGCAGACCCUGCAUGUGACGGAGCCGUACGAUAAAGAGUGAGUAGCUUCAUGACGAUACAUCAUUGUAGAGGUUAUUGCUGAGGCUUUACAAAACUGUUAUUACAGGGCACCUCACUGGCAGCUUGAUGAUUUGGACUGAAUUCUAUCAAUAAAUUAACUUAAACAUAUUGGACUUGAGAAAGCAAUUAAUGUCACUGACUACAACCAUAAACACUUGAAAAUGAAAUUCAUUAAAAUCCUUUUAGCAUGGUCUUUAUUUAAAGAACACAUUUACAUCACUUCAGAAGAAAAUAUAUUGAAUGGGUUAGUGAUGAAAACAAUAUAAAAGUGUAACAUACUAAUGACUACAAAGAAUUGUGAGCAUUACAACUUGCCUUAAAAAGUAAAUUUCAUGUCAAGGUCAUGUGUACAGUAAUAUGUAUUGUAUAAAAUGUUUCAAAUGUACCUUAAAUCCAUGAUUCAAUUAUUUAGUCUUGAAACGUAAGGUAGUGCGGGCCAUUGUGAAAUGAAGUGUUUAAUUGUAUAAGCGGGAGUGACUUUAGAAAAUGGAAUUGUUCAUGUAUUCCUCCUCAGCAGCUCUGUCUAGUUGUUGUUGUUGUGUGACACUUUCUUUCUUCCCCUCUUCACACUGAUGUUAGUAUCGUCACCGUCACCACUGUAUGGCAGGUAUCUAAUUGCACUCCUCCGCAGCUCGCUCUGCCCUGACAGGAGUCCAUAGCUUUUAUUUUGGUCAGUCUCUUCUCAGUUGCACAUGCUGUCGCUAUACGCAGCUUUGAUUGAUAGUUUUGCCCAUCAUCAUAUAUUGUUAAGUAAUCAGCCUCACCACAGCCGCCAUCGAGGUCCUUUAUUCCAGCUAGAACCCAGGGCUUCAAUUAAAGCGUUUGUGUGAGCCUUUAGUUUUGUGACUUUGUAAAAAAGAUGUCUGCAACUUUUCUGAUUGCAUUUGUUUGUGGAAAAUUGAAGCACUGACUGGAUUGUGCUGGACUACGGGGGAUAUAGGUUUAGAGGCAAUUUAGUUUUAUAUUGAGGCAGUGGAAAACUCUCUUCGUUAAUAGCCCGAGUGUAUUGGUGAGGUAAACAAUGUCAAAGUGGCCGUUGUAAAGUCUGUGUCCUGACAGGAGACACAGCACUGGGCGACCACGGCCUCCUGUGAUGGAUGGUCGUUGUUAAUGGUGCAUGUAUUUAGGAUUUUUAAAGCUCAACUCUGACUGUUACUAUGGAGACAGUGACAUGUGUUUCAUUUUUGUCACUCGCCAUUUAUUCAUUCAAACUGCUGAAUAAAAGUUUCUUUCUUCUUUCUUUCUUUCUUUCUUUCUUUCUUUCUUUCUUUCUUUCUUUCUAAAUCGUGUACAUGUAAUAUAAGUAGUCUAAAUGAAAUCUAAAUUCGGCCUUGUAACAUGCUCUUUGCAGCGGGAAGUUAUUGUAGUUUUUAUUCAUUGUAGUGUCUGUCAACACAGUACUUGCCAAACGCAAAUUUCCUCUGGGGAUAAUAAAGUUUAAUCAGUUCAUUUACAUAGGAAUAUAGUAAGUGCUAAUCUGUGGUUGACACACCUGACAAAAUAUAAUAUGCCAUUAUUAUUAUGUUCAAUGUUGCGUGCACAUGCAGGGCCUGCAGACAGAAAGUGCAUCUAAAUCUAGUGCAAAACAUGUUCUCAUGUAAAACUAAUGUAUGGUCCCUGACAAAAUAACCUCUAAAGUAAACUAAACGAACAUUACAAAUAUAUUUGCUGAAGAGCUACAUUCACAGUGUGAAAAUGAUUUUUUUAAUUGAUAACACAUUGUAAUUUUAUGUAUCUGUGCAAUUUGAAAUAAACACUUCGUCG
ensembl:lncRNA